ACACGUGGGUGAUCUGCCCUGCACUCUGGGAUAAGCCUGGGAAACUGGGUCUAAUACCGGAUAGGACCAUGCUUUAGUGUGUGUGGUGGAAAGUUUUUCGGUGUAGGAUGAGCCCGCGGCCUAUCAGCUUGUUGGUGGGGUAAUGGCCUACCAAGGCGGCGACGGGUAGCCGGACUGAGAGGUUGGUCGGCCACAUUGGGACUGAGAUACGGCCCAG
rnacentral:rRNA from 1 species